rnacentral:rRNA from 1 species
UACGGGGGGGGCAAGCGUUGUUCGGAAUUACUGGGCGUAAAGGGCUCGUAGGCGGCCAACUAAGUCAGACGUGAAAUCCCCAGGCUCAACCUGGGAACUGCGUCUGAUACUGAUUGGCUUGAAUCCGGGAGAGGGAUGCAGAAUUCCAGGUGUAGCGGUGAAAUGCGUAGAUAUCUGGAGGAAUACCGGUGGCGAAGGCGGCAUCCUGGACCGGCAUUGACGCUGAGGAGCGAAAGCCAGGGGAGCAAACGGG